rnacentral:rRNA from 1 species
UACGUAGGGUGCAAGCGUUGUCCGGAUUUAUUGGGCGUAAAGAGCUCGUAGGCGGUUUGUCGCGUCGAAUGUGAAAUCUCAGGGCUCAACUCUGACAUUGCAUUCGAUACGGGCAGGCUCGAGUUCGGUAGGGGAGACUGGAAUUCCUGGUGUAGCGGUGAAAUGCGCAGAUAUCAGGAGGAACACCGGUGGCGAAGGCGGGUCUCUGGGCCGAUACUGACGCUGAGGAGCGAAAGCGUGGGGAGCGAACAGG